UGGGGUGUAGAGCUCCGUUGUAGAGCAUUCGACUGCUGAUCGAGAGGGCCCCGGUUCAAACCUAGGUGCCCCAU